GGAGAGGAUGGCAGGAACUUGGUAGAGAGCGGAAAGGGUCUUGGUUUUAAAAGUCUCAUUGGGAUGACUCUGCCUUCCCCACUGUGAACACGGUUCAGCAUUUAUGUACUUUGGAAGGACAAAGAGGUGAGGAGAAAGAACCAGGGAACCCAACAGAGAUGGACAACAAUCAUCCUUCCAGCAGAGGAGACAGAAAAGCCAGUAGAAAUGCUGCACUGAAGGUUAAGAACUGAAGAAAAAACCUUUCUGUUGAGUUGCUCAAGAGUAUAUAACAAUAAAAGGAAGACAGAGGAUGCACUUCAGCUGCUACUAUAUCCUACAUUGUUAUAGAAUCAUCUUUUCUCUUUAAAAGUAAAUGAUCAAGAACG